rnacentral:rRNA from 1 species
CAGUAGCCGCGGGAAUACGUAGGGGGCGGGCGUUGUCCGAAGUUACUGGGCGUAAAGCGCGCGUAGGCGGCUUCUUAGGUCUGAGGUGAAGGGUUCAACGCUUAACGUGAACAGUGCCUUGGAUACUGGGGAGCUUGAGUAUGGGAGAGGGCAGUGGAAUGGCUGGUGUAGCGGUGAAAUGCGUAGAUAUCAGUCGGAACACCCAUGGCGAAGGCAGCUGCCUGGCCUAAUACUGACGCUGAGGUACGAAAGCGUGGGGAGCGAACGGGAUUAGAGACCCCCGUAGUCCCUGUCUCUUAUA